rnacentral:tRNA from 1 species
GUCGCCGCUGGUGGGGCUGCCCUUCCUGGUCCUGGCGGGGCUGGGGCUGCUCACCGGCUGGUGGCGGGCCCGGCGCGGCGGCG